GAGCUGAGCACCGGCAUUCCUUUCUCUGUACUCCCUGACCGUGGACACAAUGUGGCCCGAUGCCCCACAUUUCUUCUGCCAUGCCUUCCUCACCAUCAUGGGCUCCUUCAAGGAGUUCUGAAAUUAAAGACAUGGGACACCACACCGUGCUUCAGGAACUUCUUAAGGGGAAAGAAGAAUCAGGUACUAUGUAUACCAGGCUCGCCUUGAAUCCACAGAGAUUUGCCUGCCUUUGCCUCCCAACUAAGAUCUGAGAUUAAAGAUGUGUGUCAC